GCCGGGCAUGGUGGUGCACACCUGUAGUCCCUACUACUCGGGAGGCUGAGGCAGGAGGCUCGCUUGAGCCCAGAAGUACCAGCCUGGGCAACAAAGUGAGACCCUGUCUCUU
rnacentral:SRP_RNA from 1 species